rnacentral:lncRNA from 1 species
AUGGCCAGGAAUGCUGCUGGGAUGGCCAAAACCCUCCCAGGAUGGACACAAACCCUCCCAGGAUGGACACAAACCCCCCAAGGAUGGACACAAACCCCCCCAAGGAUGGACACAAACCCCCCAAGGAUGGACACAAACCCUCCUGGCACUCUCCAGGAGCAAUUCCAGGGUGAAAUUCCGAGGUGCUGGAGGAGGCAGGGAAAUAAUUCCAAAGGUGAAUGGAAAAGGAGGAAAAAGGGAGGAGGAAAAAAGGGAGGGAGGAAAAAGGGAAAGGGGAAAAAAAGGGGAAGGGGAAAAAAAGGGAAAGGGGAAAAAAGGGAAAGGAAAAAAUGGGAGAGGGGAAAAAAAGGAAAAGGGGAAAAAGGGGAAAGAAUAAAAAGGGAGAGGAAUAAAAGGGAGAGGAAAAAAAGGGAAAGGGGGAAAAAAAAAGGGAAAGGGGAGAAAAAAAGGGAAAGGAGGGGGAAAGGGGAGAGGAAUAAAAGGGGAGAGAAAAAAAGGGGAAGGAAUAAAAGGGGAGAGGAAUAAAAGGGAGAGGAAUAAAAAGGAGGGGAAAAGGCA